GCUCGCCGCGCGCGACUCCGUGGUCGCCACCGGCGGGCCCGAGUACCGCGUGCCGCUCGGCCGGCACGACAGCCCGCGGUUCGCCACGCCGCAGGACGUGCUGUCCGGCCUCCCCGCGACCACCUCCGCCGUGCCGUCCCUCCUGGACGUCUUCCACAACCACAGCCUCCACCUCGACGCCACCGACCUCGUCGCGCUCCCCGGUGGCCACACCGUGGGGCUCGGGCACUGCGUGUCCUUCGAGGUGGAAUUUCGUGUGUAGGGGUGAAAUCCGUAGAUCUACGAAGGAACGCCAAAAGUGAAGGCAGCUCCCUGGGUCCCUACCGACCCUGAGUUGCGAAAGCAUGGGGAGCGAACAGGAUUAGAUACCCUGAUAGUCCAUGCCGUAAACGAUGAGUGUUUGCCCUUGGUCUACGCAGAUCAGGGGCCAGCUAACGCGUGAAACACUCCGCCUGGGGAGUACGGUCGCAAGACCGAAACUCAAAAAAAUUGACGGGGGCCUGCACAAGCGGUGGACCCGACCAUGAGCCCCGACUUC
rnacentral:ncRNA from 1 species